CCUACGGGAGGCAGCAGUGGGGAAUAUUGGACAAUGGGCGAAAGCCUGAUCCAGCAAUGCCGCGUGAGUGAUGAAGGCCUUAGGGUUGUAAAGCUCUUUUACCCGGGAUGAUAAUGACAGUACCGGGAGAAUAAGCUCCGGYUAAYUCCRUGCCA
rnacentral:rRNA from 1 species